GACGAACGCUGGCGGCGUGCUUAACACAUGCAAGUCGAGCGGAGCGAGGGUGCUUGCACCUUAGCUUAGCGGCGGACGGGUGAGUAAUGCUUAGGAAUCUGCCUAUUAGUGGGGGACAACAUUCCGAAAGGAAUGCUAAUACCGCAUACGCCCUACGGGGGAAAGCAGGGGAUCUUCGGACCUUGCGCUAAUAGAUGAGCCUAAGUCGGAUUAGCUAGUUGGUGGGGUAAAGGCCUACCAAGGCGACGAUCUGUAGCGGGUCUGAGAGGAUGGUCCGCCACACUGGGACUGAGACACGGCCCAGACUCCUACGGGAGGCAGCAGUGGGGAAUAUUGGACAAUGGGCGGAAGCCUGAUCCAGCCAUGCCGCGUGUGUGAAGAAGGCCUUUUGGUUGUAAAGCACUUUAAGCGAGGAGGAGGCUCUUAAGGUUAAUACCCUUGAUGAGUGGACGUUACUCGCAGAAAAAGCACCGGCUAACUCUGUGCCAGCCGCCGCCGUAAGAC
rnacentral:rRNA from 1 species